UAAGCGCCUAUGCUAUGACUUCCCAUAGACUGAUAAUUUCUGCAAAUGUGCCUAAGCUGAUUUUGUGACCUCAUGAAUAGCAUUUGCCAAAUAUCCCACAUUGCCUGUAGUAAUGCCGGCCAUACUGAUUCGACCAUUACGGGUCAUAUAGAUAUGAUAUUCUUUUGUCAAACGAUCAACUUGUUCUGGUGUCAUCCCGCUAUAGCAAAACAUUCCAAUCUGCUUAGUAAUGUGCUUCCAUGACAAUGGUGACCCCAACUUUUCAAGGUUUUCUCGCAAAGAUGCACGCAUGGAAAUGAUGCGAUCAGCCAUUACCUUAACUUCCUUCAGCCAUAACUUCUUCAAGUCUGGAUCUCCAAGGAUAGUUGAAACUAUAAAUGCACCAUGAACAGGUGGAUUGCUGUACAUGGGUCUUGCAAGUUGCUGCAACUGACUUUUUACUGCCACUGCUUGUUUCUCAUUUUCACAAAGCACACUGAGGCAUCCUACUCUCUGGCCGUAGAGCCCCAUAUUUUUUGCAUAUGAUUGAGCAAUGCCAAUAUGAUGACCAUCCUCAAGAAAAAUCCUGAUAGACUUUGCAUCUCUCUCUGGAUCACCGCUGGCAAAGCCUUGAUAUGCCAUAUCAAAGAAGGCAAAAUGAUUUUUAACCUUGAAUAGGUGAGAUAUCUCUCUCCAUUCUUCCUCUGACGGAUCAACC
rnacentral:misc_RNA from 1 species